rnacentral:rRNA from 1 species
AGCGAACGCUGGCGGCGUGCUUAACACAUGCAAGUCGAACGCUCGUAGCAAUACGAGAGUGGCGGACGGGUGAGUAACGCGUGGGAAUCUAUCUUACGGCGGGGAAUAACCUCGGGAAACUGAGGCUAAUACCGCAUACGCCCUUCGGGGGAAAGGCUUCGGGCACCGUUUCAGGAGCCCGCGUUCGAUUAGCUAGUUGGUGAGGUAACGGCUCACCAAGGCGACGAUCGGUAGCUGGUCUGAGGGGAUGAUCAGCCACACUGGGACUGAGACACGGCCCAGACUCCUACGGGAGGCAGCAUUGGGGAAUAUUGGACAAUGGGGGAAACCCUGAUCCAGCGACGCCGCGUGGGUGAUGAAGGCCUUCGGGUUGUAAAGCCCUUUCGUCCACGAUGAUGAUGACAGUAGUGGAAGAAGAAGCUCCGGCUAACUUCGUGCCAGCAGCCGCCGUAACAC